rfam:Jatropha curcas cultivar GZQX0401 scaffold739_50, whole genome shotgun sequence.
UGGCUAUGAUGACAAAAAAAGGCCGGACUUACGGCUGCUACCACUAAGUUUGCUUUAGUUGGUUUUGGUAGUAGAUUGAUGAACCUUCUGGUUAAAGGUGUUAGUUCUGAGCCAG